rnacentral:rRNA from 1 species
AACGAACGCUGGCGGCAUGCCUAACACAUGCAAGUCGAACGAGACCUUCGGGUCUAGUGGCGCCCGGGUGCGUAACGCGUGGGAACCUGCCCUUAGGUUCGGAAUAACUCCCCGAAAGGGGUGCUAAUACCGGAUAAUGUCUUCGGACCAAAGAUUUAUCGCCUUUGGAUGGGCCCGCGUUGGAUUAGCUAGUUGGUAGGGUAAAAGCCUACCAAGGCGACGAUCCAUAGCUGGUCUGAGAGGAUGAUCAGCCACACUGGGACUGAGACACGGCCCAGACUCCUACGGGAAGCAGCAGUGGGGAAUAUUGGACAAUGGGCGAAAGCCUGAUCCAGCAAUGCCGCGUGAGUGAUGAAGGCCUUAGGGUUGUAAAGCUCUUUUACCCGGGAUGAUAAUGACAGUACCGGGAGAAUAAGCCCCGGCUAACUCCGUG